GGAUAAUCUACCCUUAGGACCGGGAUAACCCUGGGAAACUGGGGAUAAUACUGGAUAGGCAAUUAUUCCUGUAAUGGUUUUUUGUUUAAAUGUUUUUUCGCCUAAGGAUGAGUCUGCGGCCGAUUAGGUAGUUGGUUAGGUAAUGGCUUACCAAGCCGUUGAUCGGUACGGGUUGUGAGAGCAAGAGCCCGGAGAUGGAACCUGAGACAAGGUUCCAGGCCCUACGGGGUGCAGCAGGCGCGAAACCUCCGCAAUGUAAGAAAUCGCGACGGGGGGAUCCCAAGUGCCAUUCUUAACGGGAUGGCUUUUCAUUAGUGUAAAGAGCUUUUGGAAUAAGAGCUGGGCAAGACCGGUGCCAGCCGCCGCGGUAACACCGGCAGCUCUAGUGGUAACAAUUUUUAUUGGGCCUAAAGCGUCCGUAGCCGGUUUAAUAAGUCUCUGGUGAAAUCCUGCAGCUUAACUGUGGGAAUUGCUGGAGAUACUAUUAGACUUGAGACCGGGAGAGGUUAGAGGUACUCCCAGGGUAGAGGUGAAAUUCUGUAAUCCUGGGAGGACCGCCUGUUGCGAAGGCGUCUAACUGGAACGGUUCUGACGGUGAGGGACGAAAGUUAGGGGCGCGAACCGGAUUAGAUACCCGGGUAGUCCUAACUGUAAACGAUGCGGACUUGGUGUUGGGGUGGCUUUGAGCUGCUUCAGUGCCGAAGGGAAGCUGUUAAGUCCGCCGCCUGGGAAGUACGGUCGCAAGACUGAAACUUAA
rnacentral:rRNA from 1 species